rnacentral:lncRNA from 1 species
AAAGUAAACAACACCCCAAGUGUCCGGGAACAAAGGCAAGUUGUCUUUCUACGGUGCCGCAGCCGUGUGCCUCUUCUGAAGAAUAAGAGCUAUUAUUAUUCUUUAUGUCUUAUCCUUUUUUUUUUUUAAAAAAAAAACCAAGUUUCCUUCUAAGGGAAAUAAACACCAAAGGUAGGAUUCCAAGGAAAUGACUCACAGCGGCUGGCAGGGCUCUGGCGGGGCUGGCCCGGGCCCCCGCGCUCCAGCCCGCAGCAGAUGUCGGCCCGGCCUUCCCUCCCUCCCUUGCCGGCCAAACCCGCUGGAAGCCCGCGGUUGCGGGAGCGCCCUGCGCCCGUGGGACCUGGCGGCGAGGACGCCUAUUCCCUGCUUCUGCGACCACAGCUGGGCACUCGGAAAGUUGCUAGGGCCGAAGAGGCGGGAGGGGAGGAAGGGAAGCGAGAGGCGGAGGCGUGGACCAGGCGGGCAGCAGCCUCAGCCCGCCGAGGAGUGAUCCUCCGACUGUGAAAAACCAGACCUCUGGCUGCCUGGCUCCCUAGGAAUCAAGAAGACGCACAGACUGAAAAUCAAGGGAGGAAGGAACAAGAUCAAGGAUGAGGAUUAGCAUCUGCAAAUUGAACUCUAUCUAAUUUGCAUGUUUAUUUCUUAGAAUUGUAAUUAAAUUUGUGUAAUAAAUGUUUUCCAUUUCAUUUGUACACUUAAAACUUGGGUGACUGACAUGCAGUUAAGUGAAUUUCCUUUUUUUAAAAGCAAAUGUAGAUUAUUCAAUAAAGCAGCAAACCAAUAUUAAACAUAAUUAGAAC